UACGUAGGUGGCAAGCGUUGUCCGGAAUUACUGGGUGUAAAGGGUGCGUAGGCGGUUCUGCAAGUCAGUUGUGAAAACUAUGGGCUUAACCCAUAGCCUGCAAUUGAAACUGUGGGACUUGAGUGAAGUAGAGGUAGGUGGAAUUCCCGGUGUAGCGGUGAAAUGCGUAGAGAUCGGGAGGAACACCAGUGGCGAAGGCGGCCUACUGGGCUUUAACUGACGCUGAAGCACGAAAGCAUGGGUAGCAAACAGGAUUAGAUACCCUGGUAGUCCAUGCCGUAAACGAUGAUUACUAGGUGUGGGGGGUCUGACCCCUUCCGUGCCGGAGUUAACACAAUAAGUAAUCCACCUGGGGAGUACGACCGCAAGGUUGAA
rnacentral:rRNA from 1 species